CAAGGGAUCAGCAACUGUCAGCAGGCAACUGGGAUGAUCUGUGCAAUCAAUAGAAUUAUUUUGCCCUCCAGCUUCACAGCAGGUUGCUUUUGUCUGGAAAUCACGUUAAUGUCUUCCUCAUGGUGCAACGGUGGGUGACAGCGACAGCAUUACAGGAGGCUGGAGGCAGUUAGUGUAGUGUGUAAUAGCAGGAGUUAUUCUGAAUACCAUCCUCGCAAGAAUUUUUUUUAAUAUAAGGGGAAAAAGAUGGCGAUACUCACCAUGUUGUUGAUACAUUUCUCUCUGCUUGGAUUUCCCCUUUCCAAGUUAUCCGACUCAGCUUCCAAGAGAAUCUCCAUUUGUUCCAGAAGAGGGUUUCGAGAAAUCUUGUGAUUGGUGUAAUUUUAACGAGGGAGAUGAAGGUGUCGUGCUGAACUCCACAGACAUAGUGAUUCCUUAUUGGAAAGAGGAAUGCACCCUAGUUUUGACAUGAUUUGGCUUAUUUUCCUGUAAUGCUGUUUGAAUUACUCAUCAAGAUGAUACAAACCGUUCGCUUCGCUCUCUGUGACUGCGAGUAUAUGAUUGCUUGCUUAGUGGAUGACUGUGAAAUGUUCACAUGGGUCCUUUAAAAAUUCAUCAGAUAUUGCUAUCAAAUCUGGCUGCAAAAAGAGGAGCAGAAAAAUGUGUAAAAGGCAGAAAGACACCAAGACAGGGAAGAGGCAUCUUAUUGCCAAUAUUAUUUCUUAGCAAUUAUUGCCAAUAUUAUUUCUUGGCUAUUCUUCAGAAGCAGAAGCAGAUGCAGAAGCUCUCUUCAGAAUCCCAGAAAAGCAGGAAGAAAUAACAGAGCGAUUGAAAGUACAACAUAUUCUGUUCUGAAGUGUUACUCACAGACAAGCCACAGGCUCCAAGUUUAGGGCGAACCUAGAUGAGAUGAUGGUGGGAGAUCAGAUCUUCCAUAGUUUUAUAAGGAUAAAUGCAGCUGUCUAGGCUGUCAUUCAAAUCAGGGUAUGGAUCAAUAUAUCUCUAUCUCUAUCUAUUGUUAUAGAUUUGGGAUAGGGAAUCUCCCAGACAUAGCCAGGAUUUGCUCUUUGAAAAUGGCAUCCUAGCGGAAUUUUUGGAAAGCGGCUAAAAUGUCCCAAAAACCCUGGGCAUAAGUGUUGAUUUUGCAAAAAGCUCAACAACUAUUGUGUCUGGAUUUUCACUUUUUGAAAUAUAGCAACCCUAGGUUUUUUUUUUUGGGGGGGGGACUCCCUGUACCAGGGAUGGUGGGAAUUGUAGUUCAAAAACAGCUGGAGAUCCAAGUUUGGAAAGUCCUACACUAAACCCUGGAAAUCAAUAAAUGCUAGUUUCCUGGUAAGGUGAUAACCCUAGGUCAGGCAUAGGCAAACUCAGCCCUCCAGAUGUUUUGAGACUACAAUUCCCAUCAUCCCUGACCACUGGUCCUGUUACUUAGGGAUGAUGGGUGUUGUAGUCCCAAAACAUCUGGAGGGAUGAGUUUGUCUAUGCCUGCCUAGGUAAUUAAGGGAACAAAGGAAGUGACUCUGUGCCAGACAGCAAAUAAGUGGUCCGUAUCCCUCAACUUACUGGGAGUUAGAAAGAAAGAGGCCAGAGUUGAGAGUUGAGUUGUGUGAGCUGGAAGCUGGCAAGGUUGCAGGCUAGGCAGCUGGGAGACAGGCCUAUGCCUGAUUUCUCUUGGAGUCCAGGGUUGUGGCUAUGGGAGAAGCAAGACCCUCUUGGGGCAUUAAUGCUGUGAAACCCUCCAUCGUAGGCUCAGGUUGUAUAUAUGUGUGUAAAUAAACCAUAUACUGUAUCCCAAAGACAACACUGUCUCUACUGUCCCUCAUUUGAAAAGAAGCAUGAAUCCUGCGUAAGUGCCUGGAACCCCUGGAAUCUUGCACUGCUUGGAAUUUGGGGUGGCAUCCAAUAAUAUGUUCAAAGGGACCAUAUACAUGCUUGUCAUAUGUGCACAUCAGUUUUCCUGAAAGCCCAGCUCCACCAGGCAUCCCCUGCCCCUGAACUGGGCCAGCUGGUCAGUAUAAAAAUAACUGUUUAAGGAUUGGAUUUUCCUCCCCUCUUCCCUCCCUGCUCCCUCUUCCUUGUGUGUCAUGCCUUUUAAAGGUUGUAAGCCUAUGGACAGGGAAUGUCCUGUUUGAUUAUAGGUAAGCUUCUCCAGGUACAAAUACUCCAAAUAAAUAAAUAACAUGGAACCAGACUAUUGAUCCAUCCAGCUCAGUGAUGCUGACUGUCAGCAGUUCUCUCAGGCAGGGGACAUUCCCAGCUCUAACAUUUGGGGACUGAACCUGGGACCUUCUGCAUGCAAAGCAGAAGUUUUAGAUGCUCUACCAUAGAGCUACAUCCUUUUCCUGCCAUUAAAUUUUCAAUGACCUUUAACAGUCUUAUGCCACGUGUAUGAAUGUUCCACCCCUUAAUUCAAGUGCAAAUCAUGUUUUUAUCAUUUACUGUAAUACGUAAUUGAAAUAAAUGAUUUUAUUAUCCUGUCA